AUUCGGCUGACGAAUCCCGAAUAGGAUGAAACGAGAGUCAAACUGAAU
rfam:Schistosoma rodhaini strain Burundi genome assembly, scaffold: SROB_scaffold0000037